CUCCUCUCAGGAUCACACCUGGAGAGUUUCCAGUACUCUAGUAGUCUCAGUUACAGGAGGGAGGGUCAAGCAGAGGCAAAUCUAUUCCAUUCCUAGCUGGGGCAGUGGCUAGUGAGUGGAAGGCAAUCUGCUACAGGU